AUACUUACCUGGCAGGGGAGACACCUUGAUCACAAAGGAGGUUACCCCAAGGUGAGGCUCAUCCAUUGCACUCUGGGUGUGCUGACCCCUGCGAGUUCCCCAAAUGCUGGAAACUUGACUGCCCGGUUUGUAGUAGUGAGGGGCUGCGUUCACGCUUCCCCCUG